rnacentral:rRNA from 1 species
CAUCAGGAAGAAAGCUUGCUUUCUUUGCUGGCGACCGGCGCACGGGUGAGUAACACGUAUCCAACCUGCCCUUUACUCGGGGAUAGCCUUUCGAAAGAAAGAUUAAUACCCGAUAGUAUAAUGAUUCCGCAUGGUUUCAUUAUUAAAGGAUUCCGGUAAAGGAUGGGGAUGCGUUCCAUUAGGUUGUUGGUGAGGUAACGGCUCGCCAAGCCUUCGAUGGAUAGGGGUUCUGAGAGGAAGGUCCCCCACAUUGGAACUGAGACACGGUCCAAACUCCUACGGGAGGCAGCAGUGAGGAAUAUUGGUCAAUGGGCGUUAGCCUGAACCAGCCAAGUAGCGUGAAGGAUGAAGGCUCUAUGGGUCGUAAACUUCUUUUAUAUAAGAAUAAAGUGCAGUAUGUAUACUGUUUUGUAUGUAUUAUAUGAAUAAGG